ensembl:lncRNA
GGACAUUGUCACUAGAGCAUGGAUCUAGUUUCUAGCACUACCAUGGAGCCCGACUGCUGACCCUUCUGCAUUCCAAAUCAGAAAUUGUGUCCUCAAAAUUAAAAUAAUUGAUGAAUCAUUUACAAGUAUACCACUAAACCACCAGGCAGCAAAAGAGAGCGAAAAAUAGAAUAGUUAACCUUUCUAAAUAUCUGAACUAAUUAACUUGAGAUUUUGUAAGCUUAGCUUUGCUUUGCUGUCAGGUUGCGUGCCCAGACAGGGAAACACCCACUGAGGUCUGGAGCCCAGACAGGCGAUCUCACUGAGGUCUGGAGCUUGCACCAACGCUGGUCAUGGACAUUUGGCACAAUGGAAGAAAACAAAAGGAACCAAACCAAGAGCAAAGCUGCUGGUGUGGAGAGGGAGACCAACUGGCUGAUGUGGUACACCUUACAGCCUACCGGCCAAACCAGCACAGGUACCAUCAUCAGAGUGGAUUGGGAGCACCUGGUUCAGGCGCUCCUUAAAGUAUAAAAACCCAGACUCAACUCUGCUCUGGUCUCUCUCUGGCAUUCGGCGGCGGCGGCGGCAGCAGCAGCAGCAGCAGCAGCAGCAGCAGCAGCAGCAGCAGCAGCAGCAGCAGCAGCAGCAGCAGCACUUGUUUUUUUUUCUGCUUUGUUUUCACAAUAUAACUUCUG